rnacentral:ncRNA from 2 species
CUGCGUCGGUCUCGGUCCGGUUCGUCCGGAUUCGAGCGUGAGAGGGAAUCUGGUGUGAAUCCAGAGCUGCCCCGCAGCGGUGACCGGAAACGACAGCGGCCAAGAGCACUGGGUCCGACAAGACCUGGGAAGCGGCCGUCAGUAGGUGGCACGACCCCGGAGGGGGUGCCGUGUCCGGGAGUCCGAAGACCUGCCGAACGCGGCUGCGGCGG